GACGAACGCUGGCGGCGUGCUUAACACAUGCAAGUCGAACGGAAAGGCCCCUUUGGGGGUACUCGAGUGGCGAACGGGUGAGUAACACGUGAGUAACCUGCCCUUGACUUCGGGAUAACUUCAUGAAACUGGGGCUAAUACCGGAUAGGAAUCCUUGCUGCAUGGUGGGGGUUGGAAAGCUUCGGCGGUUUUGGAUGGACUCGCGGCUUAUCAGCUUGUUGGUGGGGUAGUGGCUUACCAAGGCUUUGACGGGUAGCCGGCCUGAGAGGGCGACCGGCCACAUUGGGACUGAGAUACGGCCCAGACUCCUACGGGAGGCAGCAGUGGGGAAUAUUGCACAAUGGGCGGAAGCCUGAUGCAGCAACGCCGCGUGCGGGAUGACGGCCUUCGGGUUGUAAACCGCUUUCAGCAGGGGCGAAGCUUGUGGUGACGGUACCUGCAGAAGAAGCACCGGCUAACUACGUG
rnacentral:rRNA from 1 species